CUGUGUGCGCCUCUGAGGGAGUAACUCAUUUCUCUCCCUGCCCGCCUCAAAGAGCUGUGCUGUAAGCAUUGGCGGCGCAGAGGAGAUGAUUUGAGGUCUCCAGCGAGCGAUAGCACACCGAAGACAAGUGGCUCCUACAGCGGCGAGCUGAGGGAGCGAAUAGCCGCGAAGAGCCAAGUACCGGGGGAGCUGUUACCAGCAACGCAAGCGGCAGACGGACAGAGCAGCCGAGAGCAGAGAGCCGGGGGAGCUGUUACCGGUGCAUUGAGCGGCAGACGUCCGGAGCCACAGUGAGCAGUGAGCCGGGGGAGCUGUUACCGGCGCAUCGAGUGGCCGACGUCCGGAGCCACAGUGAGCAGUGAGCCGGGGGAGCUGUUACCGGCGCAUCGAGUGGCCGACGUCCGGAGCCACAGUGAGAAGUGAGCCGGGGGAGCUGUUACCGGCGCAUCGGGUGACCGACGUCCGGAGCCACAGAGAGCUGAAAGCCUGGGGGAGCGGUUACCAGAGCAUCAGUCGGUGAUCCAUGAAGAAACCGUCACCUGUAAUUAGCCACAUGCAAGCAGAUACUCCUAAGUAUCCCUAACACAGAUCCACUGCCCACCAAUGAGAGGAUACGUGGGCGGAGCUACCAGGCCUGAAAAGAGUGAGUGUCAGGAGGCAUUCAUAGAAGACGUCUGAGAGAGAAACAUCCAACUACCAGAAGAUACAAAAUGUUGCACCCCAGCAAAAGCCACUGUGAACCCCCAUAACAAAUGUGAAGAUAAGAUGUGCAUGCCAUAAGCACUAUGAGAAGCAGAAACGGUGUGGCCAUCUGUCAAAGAGAACUAAUGAUAGAGCAUAGAAGAAGGAGGGAGAAAUAGAAAAGAGAGAGAGGAAAGCGACUGCAGAAAGAAAAAGAAUACGUCAAAAAGAGAAGAGAAGGGGGGGUAACCUCCAUGCUCGGGAUUGAAAGUAUUUUUAGUAUAACAGGAAACAAAUGCAACCUGAUUAAAAGGUAUUCGUUGUUUUUGCACAAGCCUGGAGUCGGUCGCUGGUGGAAUUUUUGUAGCAGAGCACAUUCUAGCAAGACUCCUGUUUCAAAUGCGCCUGAACAGGGACCCUUCUGCUAGUCGUGUCACACGUGGCAGAGGACCCAAAAGCUGCAAGGUUGCGGAACACAUACCAGCGAACUCCAGACCAAGCUGAACUUGUGGGUAUCAGUA